rnacentral:rRNA from 1 species
AACGAACGCUGGCGGCAUGCCUAACACAUGCAAGUCGAACGAGACCUUCGGGUCUAGUGGCGCACGGGUGCGUAACGCGUGGGAACCUGCCCUUAGGUUCGGAAUAACUCCCCGAAAGGGGUGCUAAUACCGGAUAAUGUCUUCGGACCAAAGAUUUAUCGCCUUUGGAUGGGCCCGCGUUGGAUUAGCUAGUUGGUAGGGUAAAAGCCUACCAAGGCGAGGAUCCAUAGCUGGUCAGAGAGGAAGAUCAGCCACACUGAGACUGAGACACGGCCCAGAAUCCUACGGGAGGGAGCAAUGGGGAAUAGUGGAAAAUGGGCGGAAGGCUGAUCCAGCAAUGCCGCGAGAGUGAUGAAGGCCUUAGGGUUGUAAAGCUCUUUUAACCGAGAUGAUAAUGACAGUACCGGGAGAAUAAGCUCCGGCUAACUCCGUG